GACGUAGGGCGCGAGCGUUUGUCCGGAUUUAUUGGGCGUAAAGAGCUCGUAGGCGGCUUGUCGCGUCGUUCGUGAAAACCUGCAGCUCAACUGCAGGCUUGCGGGCGAUACGGGCAGGCUAGAGUUCGGUAGGGGAGACUGGAAUUCCUGGUGUAGCGGUGAAAUGCGCAGAUAUCAGGAGGAACACCGGUGGCGAAGGCGGGUCUCUGGACAGUUCCUGACGGCUGAGGCACGAAGGCCAGGGGAGCAAACGGG
rnacentral:rRNA from 1 species